AUGGUUUGAAGAUAUGAUCUUAUGCAUGCUUAGAUUAAAUUAGAUUUAAUCUGAAAAAUUUUUUAAAUUUCACUGCAUACUUGUUUUGCAAAAUCAUGCAUACAUGAAACUAUAAAACUCUAAAAGUUGAGCCAUAGGCCAUUAGCCAAAAUCUAUAAGUUAUUAGGAUUGAUUCUUUAGAUCGUUGAAUCAUGUUCUGAUCAUUCAAUGGGGAAGAAAAUCCGUCUGCCAACCUUUGAAUCAAGGUGUUAGUCGUGGAUGCUGUUGUGGGCUUCACCUGCAUGGAAAGUUGAGUUGGCGAUCUGAAAUGGAUGCAGGGGCA
rnacentral:lncRNA from 1 species